rnacentral:rRNA from 1 species
UACGUAGGGUGCAAGCGUUAAUCGGAAUUACUGGGCGUAAAGCGUGCGCAGGCGGUUUUGUAAGUCUGACGUGAAAUCCCCGGGCUCAACCUGGGAAUUGCGUUGGAGACUGCAAGGCUAGAAUCUUGCAGAGGGGGGUAGAAUUCCACGUGUAGCAGUGAAAUGCGUAGAGAUGUGGAGGAACACCGAUGGCGAAGGCAGCCCCCUGGGUCAAGAUUGACGCUCAUGCACGAAAGCGUGGGGAGCAAACAGG